rfam:Dipodomys ordii contig_69575, whole genome shotgun sequence.
GGGAAGGUGGCUCAGUGGUAGAGUGCUUGCCUUGCAUGCAUGAGGCCCUGGGUUCGAUUCCUCAGGACCCCA